rnacentral:rRNA from 1 species
CACGGGGGGAGCAAGCGUUGUUCGGAAUCACUGGGCGUAAAGGGCGUGCAGGCGGUCAGGUAAGUGGGAUGUGAAAUGCCCCGGCUCACCCGGGGACCGGCAUCUCAUACUGCUUGGCUUGAGUACGGGAGAGGAUGUGGGAAUUCCUGGUGUAGCGGUGAAAUGCGUAGAUAUCAGGAGGAACACCGGUGGCGAAGGCGGCCCUCUGGACGGUGACUGACGCUGAGACGCGAAAGCGUGGGGAGCAAACAGG